rnacentral:rRNA from 1 species
UACGAAGGGUGCAAACGUUGCUCGGAAUUAUUGGGCGUAAAGCGCACGUAGGCGGCUUAGCAAGUCGGAUGUGAAAUCCCUCGGCUCAACCAAGGAAGUGCAUCCGAAACUGCUGAGCUUGAGUACUUAAGAGGAUCGCGGAAUUCCCGGUGUAGAGGUGAAAUUCGUAGAUAUUGGGAAGAACACCAGUGGCGAAGGCGGCUAACUGGUCCGAUACUGACGCUGAGGUGCGAAAGCGUGGGGAGCAAACAGG